ACCCCUAGCAGAGUCAGUCAGCCCUCUAAACCGUAAGGAACACAACAGCUGCAAUAGGAGUGAGACUAAGAGUACUAUUGUAAGAAAUUGAAAUCAGGGGCACAACAAGAACUGUGGACAAGAUGAAACAGAUCACAAUUCUCUGUCUAGGAAUGGUCCUUUUGGCUUUACUCCUACCCAGCCAGGUCCACAGCCAGUCUACUCCAAAAUACAAUACUACCGGUACAACUCUGGCAGGGAAAAAUGGGUCAUCCUCUUCAAACUCUAGUGGAGCAUCACUCGUCACAACCUCCACGAACAUUACAACAACGCAUGGGAGUGCAGGUUCCCUGUACUCAUCCUCUGCUCUCAUCCUGCUCAUUGCCUCCGUCUUGGUUUUAAAUGUUUGCUGUUAAUAGAUGAUGUAAAUGCAAUGUAAAUUCAACUAUAGCACUCUCUCACCCCUCUGCCCUUUUUUCUUCUCAUAAUCAAGCACACCGUGGAAUGGCACAUGUAAUCCUAACCAAGUAUAAUGUACAGCCCAUCUGACCGAGAGGCUUGUCUUCACUUACUCAGGCUUCCCCCACCCGAAUGAACAUUGUGCCGACACAGGGAACUGAAAACCUUGAGCGUCUACAACACAAAGAGUCUCCAGAAACGUCCAAAAGUAAUAAUUGAAUUGAUAUUCCACAAAGAA